UAUUGUGUGUAAUUGAGUUGAUGGUUUUUAUAAUCUUCUCAGUUAUUUGGUUAUUUGGUUCUUUCUGCAUUCUUUAUCCGGUAUUCUGGUUAUUGGUUAUUGGUUAUUUGGCUAUGCUAAAUUAUAUCGUUUGUUUAAGUGCCAUUUGAAUUAAUAUGUGAAUAUGAAAUGAGAUGUUAGUAUGCUUUAGUGAUUGCUUGGAUGACAAGAGUAUAAAUAAAUGAAAGCUUACUGGGCAUCCUGGGAAAGGGUAGACGGGCUUAGUACAUAGGGAAU
rnacentral:lncRNA from 1 species